ensembl:snRNA U6 U6 spliceosomal RNA
GUGCUCAUGUCACCAGCACAUAUACUAAAAUUGAAAUGAUACAGAAAAGAUUAGCAUGGCCCCUGUAUAAGGAUGACAUGCAAAUUUGUGAAGUGUUCCAUAUUAAA